rnacentral:rRNA from 1 species
UCGGAUUAUUGGGCGUAAGGGCUCGUAGGUGGUUGAUCGCGUCGGAAGUGUAAUCUUGGGGCUUAACCCUGAGCGUGCUUUCGAUACGGGUUGACUUGAGGAAGGUAAGGGAGAAUGGAAUUCCUGGUGGAGCGGUGGAAUGCGCAAAUAUCAGGAGGAACACCAGUGGCGAAGGCGGUUCUCUGGGCCUUUCCUGACGCUGAGGAGCGAAAGCGUGGGGAGCGAACAGGCUUAAAUACCCUGGUAGUCCACGCUGUAAACGGUGGGUACUAGGUGUGGGGUCCAUUCCACGGGUUCCGUGCCGUAACUAACGCUUUAAGUACCCCGCCUGGGGAGUACGGCCGCAAGGCUAAAACUCAAAGGAAUUGACGGGGCCCCGCACAAGCGGCGGAGCAUGCGGAUUAAUUCGAUGCAACGCGUAGAACCUUACCUGGGUUUGACAUGGAUCGGGAGCGCUCAAAGAUGGGUGUGCCUCUUUUGGGGUCGGUUCACAGGUGGUGCAUGGCUGUCGUCAGCUCGUGUCGUGAGAUGUUGGGUUAAGUCCCGCAACGAGCGCAACCCUUGUUCACUGUUGCCAGCACGUUAUGGUGGGGACUCAGUGGAGACCGCCGGGGUCAACUCGGAGGAAGGUGGGGAUGACGUCAAGUCAUCAUGCCCCUUAUGUCCAGGGCUUCACGCAUGCUACAAUGGCUGGUACAGAGAGUGGCGAGCCUGUGAGGGUGAGCGAAUCUCGGACAGCCGGUCUCAGUUCGGAUUGGGGUCUGCAACUCGACCUCAUGAAGUCGGAGUCGCUAGUAAUCGCAGAUCAGCCAGCGCUGCAGUGAAUACGUUCCCGGGGCUUGUACACACCGCCCGUCAAGUCAUGAUAGUUUGCUAACACCCGAAGCCCGGUGCCCUAACCGUUGUGGGGGACCCGUCGAAAGGUGGGAACUGGUGAUUAGGACUAAAUCGUGCCACGGCUAACCAGUACAA